rnacentral:ncRNA from 2 species
UCUAAUAUGGGAAGCGAAGAUUUAUAGCCUGUAAAUGGACACUUGGGCUAUAAGGAGCUACUAGUGUAACCGGCCCUCUAAGC